UGCGUAGGUGGCGCGGUAAGUCGGGUGUGAAAUUUCGGAGCUUAACUCCGAAACUGCAUUCGAUACUGCCGUGCUUGAGGACUGGAGAGGAGACUGGAAUUUACGGUGUAGCAGUGAAAUGCGUAGAGAUCGUAAGGAAGACCAGUGGCGAAGGCGGGUCUCUGGACAGUUCCUGACACUGAGGCACGAAGGCCAGGGAGCAAACG
rnacentral:rRNA from 1 species